rnacentral:rRNA from 1 species
GUAGGGAAUAUUGCACAAUGGAGGAAACUCUGAUGCAGCGACGCCGCGUGAGUGAUGAAGGCCUUCGGGUCGUAAAACUCUGUGAUAAGGGAAGAUGAUGACGGUACCUUAUCAGAAAAGACCGGCUAACUUCGUGCCAGCAGCCGCGGUAAUACGAGGGGUCUAAGCGUUGUUCGGAAUCACUGGGCGUAAAGCGGGUGUAGGUGGCUAUGCAAGUUGGAUGUGAAAGCCCCGGGCUCAACCCGGGAAGUGCAUCCAAAACUACGUAGCUUGAGUGCGGGAGAGAAAGGCAGAAUUCCUGGUGUAGUGGUGAAAUACGUAGAUAUCAGGAGGAACUCCGGUGGCGAAGGCGGCCUUUUGGUCCGAUACUGACGCUGAGGCGCGAAAGCGUGGGGAGCAAACAGGAUUAGAAACCCCAGUAGUCC